GGAUGAAACCUUGGAGAGACUCGAAAUAGAGCACCGAAGGAGCAAGCCUGAAAAGGCGAAACUCUCAGGUAAAAGGACAGGGGACAGAUA
rnacentral:ncRNA from 2 species